UGGGGAAUUUUGGACAAUGGGCGAAAGCCUGAUCCAGCAAUGCCGCGUGUGUGAAGAAGGCCUUCGGGUUGUAAAGCACUUUUGUCCGGAAAGAAAUCCUUGGCUCUAAUACAGUCGGGGGAUGACGGUACCGGAAGAAUAAGCACCGGCUAACUACGUGCCAGCAGCCGCGGUAAUACGUAGGGUGCAAGCGUUAAUCGGAAUUACUGGGCGUAAAGCGUGCGCAGGCGGUUUGCUAAGACCGAUGUGAAAUCCCCGGGCUCAACCUGGGAACUGCAUUGGUGACUGGCAGGCUAGAGUAUGGCAGAGGGGGGUAGAAUUCCACGUGUAGCAGCGAAAUGCGUAGAGAUGUGGAGGAAUACCGAUGGCGAAGGCAGCCCCCUGGGCCAAUACUGACGCUCAUGCACGAAAGCGUGGGGAGCAAACAGGAUUAGAUACCCUGGUAGUCCACGCCCUAAACGAUGUCAACUAGUUGUUGGGGAUUCAUUUCCUUAGUAACGUAGCUAACGCGUGAAGUUGACCGCCUGGGGAGUACGGUCGCAAGAUUAAAACUCAAAUGAAUUGACGGGGUCAUAGCUGUUUCCU
rnacentral:rRNA from 1 species